rnacentral:rRNA from 1 species
UACGUAGGGUGCGAGCGUUGUCCGGAAUUAUUGGGCGUAAAGAGCUUGUAGGCGGUUUGUCGCGUCUGCUGUGAAAAUCCGGGGCUCAACCCCGGACUUGCAGUGGGUACGGGCAGACUAGAGUGUGGUAGGGGAGACUGGAAUUCCUGGUGUAGCGGUGAAAUGCGCAGAUAUCAGGAGGAACACCUAUGGCGAAGGCAGCUCGCUGGGACGUUACUGACGCUGAGACGCGAAAGCGUGGGGAGCAAACAGG